rnacentral:lncRNA from 1 species
GGCAGUUCAGCUCACUCCGUAGAUGAGUGAUGGAAAGAAAAACUGGCUGUAUCCGCACAAAAUACACAAGCAAAACCUAAACGGGCUUCUGAGCGGGAGUAAAAGACCACCCCAGAAAAGAGCUCCUGUAGAUUGGAGGGAAACAAAGAGCCACCAUUCCAGCAGGGCUGCAGGACAAAGCAGCUCAGCGUGGCAACUGCGAACAUGGAAAAAGGAUCACAAGCAGAAAUAAGGUGACACGGAGAAGAGAUAGCCAGGCACCAGGAGGGAUGUCAGAAUAAGGGGAUGUAGAAUAGGAAGUGACCAAACUCAGAAAGGAAAUUGAAGAAAAAGACGCAGCUGUUUUAGAAAUAAAGAUGGAGCCAUAUAGAAGCCAAGAGACAAUGGACGUUUCAGAAAGUCUAUUAUAGAAAUGGAGGAAUGGUCAGAAGUCAGGAAAAAGCUGAAGAUCCUGAACGUUUUUCAUGCAACUUCCCACAAACUUCUAGGAAAAUAUAAAAAAUACAACAAAGCUCAGAACUGAAAAAGAGAGAUGGCUCCUUACCUGCCCCUGUGUGUUGCGUCUGGCAUUGACUUCAACAGCAGCUUUUUAAAGCCGGUUUCUCCUGUUUGCAAACAUAAGGAUGGAAGAGUAGCAAUGAGCUUUGUUGGGGAACAGCCGGAGGGCACAGAGGAGGAGUGACAAGACCCCAGAGGACCCAGGGAAAGGAGCAGGCAGGUCGGCGGCCGCAGCUUCACCCGGGCCGGAAGUGGACGAUGAGACUCAAGGGGUCAGAGCAAGAGGAAGACGGUUCACUGCUCGGGGCACAGGGAGACCAGAGGCCCCAGCAUGCAAUAGCCAGGUCCAGACAGUGGCUGCCAUGGAGUGAGCUGUACCCAGGGGAGCAACCCGGGCCAAGGCGUCAGUCCCUCUGACAGCCACCCAGGCCACCUCCUGGGAAUAAGUCGUCAUGAGCUGUCAGUCUAGAUUACUGAAUGCUUGCGUGACGAGCUACAGGGAGGGCUCAGGGCUGGGGCAGCUGAGCCUGGAGAUUUGGAUCAAUCAUCAGGGGCCUGCAGGGCCACUUUCACCCUCCCACCCCGUGGUCCUACAUGUCCUCAGCAGAACUCGGAUUUUCACAGGGAUGUCCUCUGAUCAGGUCCUCAGCUUAGACCCAGCACUGGGUCUCAUUUGAUGAGGGUUUUUGUCAGCAGACUCACAGGCAGCAGCAUGCAGCCAGCCUAUGGUUCUGACCUGGGCUGUGCACCCAGGACCCAUCCAAGGGAGCCCCCCACAGAGGGGAUGGUCAUCUUGUUCCUGGUCACCGUGUAGCUUCUUGCUUGUGGGAUGUGAAUUGUUCAGCCUUUCUGGUGGCAUGAAUCCAAACACAGCAGGAAGUGUUGUUGACAACACAGCCCAUUCCCUGUUCAGCCAGCGGCACCGUCUUCUGCAGCCAACCGUCCAGUCUACCAUGACUGUCCGAGGGAGAGUGGAGUGGCCUCUGCUGACCCGGGGCUUGUGCUGUCUUCUGGACUUCCUCAGCUCUCGCCUCUGGGGAAUGGGCUUUGACUUCUGGGAAUAGGACUCACUGUGGUGUGUAGCCCAGCGUUGCUGAGAGGCAUGAUUCCGUGCCAUCUGGAGUCCCUGUAUUGGCCUGAAGCAUGGGGUCCGGAGUGAGGCAGACUGGGGGCUGCCAUGUACCCUCUAAGCGCAUAACUUUCUCCUUUUCUCAUCCCGCAGAUUCAUCAGUCUCCCAUUUGGUAGAGCCGAGAGAUUCCUGGAGCUCUCUCAUUGCGGGACCUCCCCUUGGUGCCCUCUGUAGGGGUGCACUGUCCUGCGAGAUGGUGGGGUUUGUGGGGGUGAGGGGGGCUGCAGUCCUGUAGGACCUCCCCUUGGUACCCUCUGCAGGGGCACGUCCUGCGGGACGGUGGGGUUUGUGGGGGUGAGGGGGGCUGCAGUCCUGUAAGAUCUCCCCUUGGUGCCCUCGGCAGGGGUGCACUGUCCUGUAGGAUGGUGGGGUGUGGGUGAGGGUGGCUGCAGUCCCGCUGUUCUCCUUGAGUGGGAUCCUGGGCUCUCUCCCAGCCCUUGCCACCCAGAAAACCAGACAGCAGCCUGGAGCCACUUGUUUGCUGGCUGUGGUCCGGCAUCUUGGCAGUUCUGUUACCCACUCUGCUGCCUCAAUCCUGCAGACAUCACUUGACGUUUCUGGCAUAAACUUUGCCUGAAAACAUACAUUUAAAGAUGAUGGCUUAACCUAUUCUUGUGUUGUUUUUUUUUAAAUUAUACUUUAAGUUUUAGGGUACAUGUGCACAAUGUGCAGGUUUGUUGCAUAUGUAUACAUGUGCCAUGUUGGUGUGCUGCACCCAUUAACUCGUCAUUUAGCAUUAGAUAUAUCUCCUAAUGCUAUCCCUCCCCCUACCCCCACCCCACAACAGGCCCCAGUGUGUGAUGUUCCCUUUCCUGUGUCCAUGUGUUCUCAUUGUUCAAUUCCUACCUAUGGGUGAGAACAUACAGUGUUUGGUUUUUUGUCCUUGCGAUAGUUUGCUGAGAAUGAUGGUUUCCAGCUUCAUCCAUGUCCCUACAAAGGACAUGAACUCAUCCUUUUUUAUGGCUGCAUAGUAUUCCAUGGUGUAUAUGUGCCACAUUUUCUUAAUCUGGUCUAUCAUUGUUGGACAUUUGGGUUGGUUCCAAGUCUUUGCUAUUGUGAAUAGUGCCGCAAUAAACAUACGUGUGCAUGUGUCUUUACAGCAGCAUGAUUUUUAAUCUUUUGGGUAUAUACCCAGUAAUGGGAUGGUUGGGUCAAAUGGUAUUUCUAAUUCUAGAUCCCUGAGGAAUCGCCACACUGUCUUCCACAAUGGUUGAAGUAGUUUACAGUCCCACCAACAGUGUAAAAGUGUUCCUAUUUCUCCACAUCCUCUCCAGCACCUGUUGUUUCCUGACUUUUUAAUGAUCGCCGUUCUAACUGGUGUGAGAUGGUACCUCAUUGUGGUUUUGAUUUGCAUUUCUCUGAUGGCCAGUGAUGAUGAGCAUUUUUUCAUGUUCCUGUUGGCUGCAUAAAUGUCUUCUUUUGAGAAGUGUCUGUUCAUAUCCUUUGCCCACUUUUUGAUGGGGUUGUUUGUUUUUUUUCUUGUAAAUUUGUUUGAGUUCUUUGUAGAUUCUGGAUAUUAGCCCUUUGUCAGAUGAGUAGAUUGCAAAAAUUUUCUCCCAUCUUGUGUUUUUUUAAAGAAAAAGUUUUAUUGGGGUAUAAGUGCUGUAUAAGAAACUCAUAUAUAAAAUCCAAAAUUUGAUACAUUUUGGCAUAUGUGUAUACCAGUAACCCAUUCUUCUUUUUCUUUUUUCUUUUUUUUUUUUAUUUUUAGAGACAGAUUUUCACUCCUGUCGCCCAGGCUGGAGUGCAAUGGCGUGGUCUUGGCUCACUGCAACCUCCACCUCCUGGGUUCAAGCAAUUCUCCUGCCUCAACCUCCCAAGUAGCUGGGAUUACAGCUGGCACCCACCACCAUGCCCGGCUAAUUUUUGUAUUUUUAGUAGAGACAGGGUUUCACCAUGUUGGCCAGACUGAUCUUGAACUCCUGACCUCAAGUGAUCCACCCGCCUUGGCCUCCCAAAGUGCUGGGAUUACAGGGGUGAGCCACUGUGUCCAGCCUCUUCUUUUUCUUUAUGGAAUGGGAUUUUGGAAGCUUACAACGUGCCAUCAUUUUCCUUGAUGUUUUUUCUAUUUAAUAGAAUCAUUUAAAUAUUUCAUAUUUAUCAUUAUAGUUGAAUUAAUUGCUGCAUUGUUUGUGGUUUCUCUGCUCCUUGGCUGUGAUUUAGGAGCUACCAAUAUUGUUUCUAACUCAAAUAAGAGGUCAUCUUAAGUGAAAAAAGGAUGCCUAUUAAAGUCAACAUUUCCAAAUGUUAUAAUAAAAAUGUGCGUGUGUAUAAAAUGCUUUAUUUUAUAGUUGUUCCCUCAGUACCGAUGCUCAUUAAUACAUUCCUGAGUUUACACUUCUGCAUUUUUAUUUGUUCUCAUCCAGGAAAGCUUUCAGUUUUUAACUUGAAAUCCAGUCGUUUUGUCAAGAUGUGAGUGGUAGUUCAUGUCUCAAAAUAAUUCACCUGGAGCAUAUUGAGCCUGUAGAUCAGAAUUUUUUUUGCCCCCAGCGGAAAGAGGUUUUUUUUUUUGUUUCUGUUUUUUUUUUUUCCAUUUAGAAUUUUGUUUCAGUUGUCUUGUUUCUGUUUCACUUUUAAAAAAAUGUUUCCUUAAAGAGAAGAUCAAUGAUUCCUGGGUUAGACUUCCUUUUACUUUCUCUUUAUAUAUUUUUUUCUAUAAUUAAAGAAAAUUACUUUGUGUUAUUCCUUUGAAUUUGUAAAAACUUGUCAAGUGUUUUCUCUGAAUUAUAUAUUGAAUAUUUUAAAUCUCUAGUACUUAAUUUUAAUUCUAGGAUUUUGUUCUGGCUUCCUUGAUCACUUUUCUUCUCCCAUUCAGCUACUUUAAAAGUCCCAGACAAUAUUGAAUAUUUCAUAUGGAUAACAGUAAUAACAGCCAAUACUUUCUGAGUGGAUAUGAAGUGCCAGACACUGUUCUUAGUGCUUUUGUUUAUUAACUCACUUUAUAUCCAAAACACCUUGCUAGACAGGAAGAUUACUAGCCCUAUUUUACAGAUGAGGACAUCAAGGCCUCGAGGAAUUAAAUAACUUGCCCAAGGUCAUAUCUUGUAAGUUUGGAAGCUUGUGUGACUCCAGGCAGCCAGGACACAAGGUCACACCGAUGUGGCUGAUCCACGUGCCUCUACCCUUCUUGGCUUCCUACUUGGAGGGUGGUCAUUUGGUGUGUAAUUGGAGGUGCUCAGCCGAAUUUUUUUUCAAUACUUGCUUUUUUCAAUAUUAAGUAAUUUUCUAACUAAUGCUUUUCUUCCAUGCAAUUUUCUCUCCUCUUCUGCUACGGAAUGUUUUCAUGGAGCUGAUAUUUCUCUGCGUUUUCUGUUUGUUUGCAAUCUCUGAUUUUUAAAUUUUAUUUGAUCUCUGAAACAAAAUAUAUUUAUAGAGGUUUUUAUAGCAGCUGUGGGACUGGAUUUCCUUUGUUCUUUCUAGCUUUUUUUUUUUUUUUGAGAUGGAGUUUCACUCUGUUGCACAGGCUGGAGCUCACUGCAACCUCCACCUCCCAGGUUCAAGCGAUUCUCCUGCAGUAGCCUCCUGAGUAGCUGAGAUUAUAGGUGCCUGCCACCACGCCUGGCUAAUUUUUGUAUUUUUGGUAGAGAUUUUUUUUUUUUUUUUUGAGAUGGAGUUUCACUCUUGUUGCCCAGGCUGGAGUGCAGUAGUGCGAUCUCGGCUCACUGCAACCUCUGCCUUCCGGUUUCAAGCGAGUCUCCUGCCUCAGCCUCCAGAGUAGCUGGGAUUACAGAUGACCACCACCAUGUCUGGCUAAUUUUUUGUAUUUUUAGUAGAGAUGGAGUUUCACCAUGUUGGCCAGGAUGGUCUUGAUCUCUUGACCUCAUGAUCUGCCCGCCUCAGACUCCCAAAGUGCUGGGAUUACAGGCAUGAACCACUGCGCCCGGCCUCUUUCUAGCAUUUAUUAAGGUGGUGAAUAGACCUAAGAAAAUGUUGCCGGCUGG